rnacentral:rRNA from 1 species
ACUCCUACGGGAGGCAGCAGUGGGGAAUAUUGGACAAUGGGCGAAAGCCUGAUCCAGCAAUGCCGCGUGAGUGAUGAAGGCCUUAGGGUUGUAAAGCUCUUUUACCAGGGAUGAUAAUGACAGUACCUGGAGAAUAAGCUCCGGCUAACUCCGUGCCAGCAGCCGCGGUAAUACGGAGGGAGCUAGCGUUGUUCGGAAUCACUGGGCGUAAAGCGUGCGUAGGCGGUGACUCAAGUCAGAGGUGAAAGCCUGGAGCUCAACUCCAGAACUGCCUUUGAAACUAGGUCGCUAGAACAUCGGARAGGUGAGUGGAAUUCCGAGUGUAGAGGUGAAAUUCGUAGAUAUUCGGAAGAACACCAGUGGCGAAGGCGGCUCACUGGACGAUUGUUGACGCUGAGGCACGAAAGCGUGGGGAGCAAACAGGAUUAGAUACCCUGGUAGUCCACGCCGUAAACGAUGAUAACUAGCUGCCGGGGCACUUGGUGCUUCGGUGGCGCAGCUAACGCAUUAAGUUAUCCGCCUGGGGAGUACGGUCGCAAGAUUAAAACUCAAAGGAAUUGACGGGGGCCUGCACAAGC